rnacentral:rRNA from 1 species
GGCGCUGAGCGUCGUGCUUAUACUCUGCCGUCAGGGCAGUAGUGAUAUCUUUAUAUACCUACGGGUUGUAAAAUAUCGUCAGGUCUUGACGAGUAGGUGGGCCGCGGCGGUGAGCGCAGAAGGACUGGGCGUAGGCCCGUCUGGAGCCGCCGUCGGUGCAGAUCUUGGUGGUAGUAGCAAAUACUCCAGCGAGGCCCUGGAGGACUGACGUGGAGAAGGGUUUCGUGUGAACAGCCGUUGCACACGAGUCAGUCGAUCCUAAGCCCUAGGAGAAAUCCGAUGUUAAUGCAGUGUGUCUUUAUUUAUAAUGGCUAAUUAUGUAUAUGUGAAAUGAACCCCCAAAUAUAAAAUUUAUGCCGGUGCCAAAAGAAUGAUAUAUAAACUAUAUAGUGUAGUGUAGUAAACUACUUCUACUACUCUAUAAUAAGAUGUACUCAUACACUCUCUCUCUGUGUUAGUAUUCAAAAAGUGUGAACAGUUCUAGUUAUAAAUGUGACUGGUCUGAAUGGAUAAUACAUACACAUUAUUUAGAGAAGUAUCACACUCAUUGGGCGAAAGGGAAUCCGGUUCCUAUUCCGGAACCCGGCAGCGGAACCGUUUACAAGUCGGGCCCUCGCAAGAGAGUUCGUCGGGGCAACCCAAAAGGACCUGGAGACGCCGUCGGGAGAUCCGGGAAGAGUUUUCUUUUCUGUAUGAGCGUUCGAGUUCCCUGGAAUCCUCUAGCAGGGAGAUAGGGUUUGGAACGCGAAGAGCACCGCAGUUGCGGCGGUGUCCGGAUCGUCCCCUCGGACCUUGAAAAUCCAGGAGAGGGCCACGUGGAGGUGUCGCGCCGGUUCGUACCCAAUCCGCAGCAGUUCCAAGGAGAC